rnacentral:rRNA from 1 species
UGCUAUACAUGCAGUCGAGCGGACAGAUGGGAGCUUGCUCCCUGAUGUUAGCGGCGGACGGGUGAGUAACACGUGGGUAACCUGCCUGUAAGACUGGGAUAACUCCGGGAAACCGGGGCUAAUACCGGAUGGUUGUYUGAACCGCAUGGUUCAGACAUAAAAGGUGGCUUCGGCUACCACUUACAGAUGGACCCGCGGCGCAUUAGCUAGUUGGUGAGGUAACGGCUCACCAAGGCGACGAUGCGUAGCCGACCUGAGAGGGUGAUCGGCCACACUGGGACUGAGACACGGCCCAGACUCCUACGGGAGGCAGCAGUAGGGAAUCUUCCGCAAUGGACGAAAGUCUGACGGAGCAACGCCGCGUGAGUGAUGAAGGUUUUCGGAUCGUAAAGCUCUGUUGUUAGGGAAGAACAAGUGCCGUUCAAAUAGGGCGGCACCUUGACGGUACCUAACCAGAAAGCCACGGCUAACUACGUGCCAGCAGCCGCGGUAAUACGUAGGUGGCAAGCGUUGUCCGGAAUUAUUGGGCGUAAAGGGCUCGCAGGCGGUUUCUUAAGUCUGAUGUGAAAGCCCCCGGCUCAACCGGGGAGGGUCAUUGGAAACUGGGGAACUUGAGUGCAGAAGAGGAGAGUGGAAUUCCACGUGUAGCGGUGAAAUGCGUAGAGAUGUGGAGGAACACCAGUGGCGAAGGCGACUCUCUGGUCUGUAACUGACGCUGAGGAGCGAAAGCGUGGGGAGCGAACAGGAUUAGAUACCCUGGUAGUCCACGCCGUAACGAUGAGUGCUAAGUGUUAGGGGGUUUCCGCCCCUUAGUGCUGCAGCUAACGCAU